GACGAACGCUGGCGGCGUGCUUAACACAUGCAAGUCGAACGGAAAGGCCCUGCUUUUGUGGGGUGCUCGAGUGGCGAACGGGUAAGUAACACGUGAGUAACCUGCCCUUGACUUUGGGAUAACUUCAGGAAACUGGGGCUAAUACCGGAUAGGAGCUCCUGCUGCAUGGUGGGGGUUGGAAAGUUUCGGCGGUUGGGGAUGGACUCGCGGCUUAUCAGCUUGUUGGUGGGGUAGUGGCUUACCAAGGCUUUGACGGGUAGCCGGCCUGAGAGGGUGACCGGCCACAUUGGGACUGAGAUACGGCCCAGACUCCUACGGGAGGCAGAAGUGGGGAAUAUUGCACAAUGGGCGGAAGCCUGAUGCAGCAACGCCGCGUGCGGGAUGACGGCCUUCGGGUUGUAAACCGCUUUCGCCUGUGACGAAGCGUGAGUGACGGUAAUGGGUAAAGAAGCACCGGCUAACUACGUG
rnacentral:rRNA from 1 species